rnacentral:rRNA from 1 species
CCUACGGGAGGCAGCAGUGGGGAAUAUUGGGCAAUGGAGGAAACUCUGACCCAGCAACGCCGCGUGAAGGAUGAAGGUCUUCGGAUUGUAAAGUUCUUUUCUGAGGGAAGAAGAAAGUGACGGUACCUCAGGAAUAAGCCUCGGCUAACUACGUGCCAGCAGCCGCGGUAAUACGUAGGAGGCGAGCGUUAUCCGGAUUGAUUGGGCGUAAAGGGUGCGUAGGCGGGUUGGCAAGUUAGUAGUGAAACUUCAGGGCUCAACCUUGGACCUGCAACUGAAACUGUUGGUCUUGAGUGCAGGAGGGGCAAUCGGAAUUCCGAGUGUAGCGGUGAAAUGCGUAGAUAUAAGGAGGAACACCAGUGGCGAAGGCGGAUUGCUAGACUGUAACUGACACUGAGGCACGAAAGCGUGGGGAGCAAACAGGAUUAGAUACCCCGGUAGUC